rnacentral:rRNA from 1 species
GGAGGCAACUCUGACCCAGCCAUGCCGCGUGAAGGAAGACGGCCCUAUGGGUUGUAAACUUCUUUUAUAGAGGAAGAAACCCUCCCACGUGUGGGAGGCUGACGGUACUCUACGAAUAAGGACCGGCUAACUCCGUGCCAGCAGCCGCGGUAAUACGGAGGGUGCAAGCGUUAUCCGGAAUCAUUGGGUUUAAAGGGUCCGUAGGCGGGCAAUUAAGUCAGAGGUGAAAUCCCACAGCUCAACUGUGGAACUGCCUUUGAUACUGGUUGUCUUGAGUUAUAUUGAAGUGAGUAGAAUAUGUAGUGUAGCGGUGAAAUGCUUAGAUAUUACAUAGAAUACCGAUUGCGAAGGCAGA